GCUGACGAGUGGCGGACGGGUGAGUAAUGUCUGGGAAACUGCCUGAUGGAGGGGGAUAACUACUGGAAACGGUGGCUAAUACCGCAUAACGUCGCAAGACCAAAGAGGGGGACCUUCGGGCCUCUUGCCAUCAGAUGUGCCCAGAUGGGAUUAGCUUGUUGGUGAGGUAACGGCUCACCAAGGCGACGAUCCCUAGCUGGUCUGAGAGGAUGACCAGCCACACUGGAACUGAGACACGGUCCAGACUCCUACGGGAGGCAGCAGUGGGGAAUAUUGCACAAUGGGCGCAAGCCUGAUGCAGCCAUGCCGCGUGUAUGAAGAAGGCCUUCGGGUUGUAAAGUACUUUCAGCGGGGAGGAAGGUGUUGUGGUUAAUAACCGCAGCAAUUGACGUUACCCGCAGAAGAAGCACCGGCUAACUCCGUGCCAGCAGCCGCGGUAAUACGGAGGGUGCAAGCGUUAAUCGGAAUUACUGGGCGUAAAGCGCACGCAGGCGGUCUGUCAAGUCGGAUGUGAAAUCCCCGGGCUCAACCUGGGAACUGCAUUCGAAACUGGCAGGCUUGAGUCUUGUAGAGGGGGGUAGAAUUCCAGGUGUAGCGGUGAAAUGCGUAGAGAUCUGGAGGAAUACCGGUGGCGAAGGCGGCCCCCUGGACAAAGACUGACGCUCAGGUGCGAAAGCGUGGGGAGCAAACAGGAUUAGAUACCCUGGUAGUCCACGCCGUAAACGAUGUCUACUUGGAGGUUGUGCCCUUGAGGCGUGGCUUCCGGAGCUAACGCGUUAAGUAGACCGCCUGGGGAGUACGGCCGCAAGGUUAAAACUCAAAUGAAUUGACGGGGGCCCGCACAAGCGGUGGAGCAUGUGGUUUAAUUCGAUGCAACGCGAAGAACCUUACCUGGUCUUGACAUCCACGGAAGUUUUCAGAGAUGAGAAUGUGCCUUCGGGAACCGUGAGACAGGUGCUGCAUGGCUGUCGUCAGCUCGUGUUGUGAAAUGUUGGGUUAAGUCCCGCAACGAGCGCAACCCUUAUCCUUUGUUGCCAGCGGUUAGGCCGGGAACUCAAAGGAGACUGCCAGUGAUAAACUGGAGGAAGGUGGGGAUGACGUCAAGUCAUCAUGGCCCUUACGACCAGGGCUACACACGUGCUACAAUGGCGCAUACAAAGAGAAGCGACCUCGCGAGAGCAAGCGGACCUCAUAAAGUGCGUCGUAGUCCGGAUUGGAGUCUGCAACUCGACUCCAUGAAGUCGGAAUCGCUAGUAAUCGUGGAUCAGAAUGCCACGGUGAAUACGUUCCCGGGCCUUGUACACACCGCCCGUCACACCAUGGGAGUGGGUUGCAAAAGAAGUAGGUAGCUUAACCUUCGGGAGGGCGCUUACCACUUUGUGAUUCAUGACUGGGGUGAAGUCGUAACAAGGUAACCGUAGGGGAACCUGC
rnacentral:rRNA from 1 species